AGCGAACGCUGGCGGCAGGCCUAACACAUGCAAGUCGAACGAACCCUUCGGGGUUAGUGGCGGACGGGUGAGUAACACGUGGGAACGUGCCUUUAGGUUCGGAAUAACUCAGGGAAACUUGUGCUAAUACCGAAUGUGCCCUUCGGGGGAAAGAUUUAUCGCCUUUAGAGCGGCCCGCGUCUGAUUAGCUAGUUGGUGAGGUAAAGGCUCACCAAGGCUACGAUCAGUAGCUGGUCUGAGAGGAUGACCAGCCACAUUGGGACUGAGACACGGCCCAAACUCCUACGGGAGGCAGCAGUGGGGAAUCUUGCGCAAUGGGCGAAAGCCUGACGCAGCCAUGCCGCGUGAAUGAUGAAGAUCUUAGGAUUGUAAAAUUCUUUCACCGGGGACGAUAAUGACGGUACCCGGAGAAGAAGCCCCGGCUAACUUCGUGCCAGCCGCCGCAGUAAUAC
rnacentral:rRNA from 1 species